rnacentral:lncRNA from 1 species
CUUUCCUCCCCAAGGGAAGAAGUCUACCUAAGAGACUUGGGUGUUUUCAAGAGAUAACGCCAUUACAGUUUAAGCCCCUUAAUUUGUCUGGGCUUUUGCUGUUGCAACUGGAAGAGGCAAAGAAUAAUGAUUAUUAAAAAGUAGGUAUGUGCAAUAUUGAGAUCAUCCGGUGGUUCUUCAUUGCAAUCCAACAGGCAAAGGAGUAAGAAUGUCUGUAAAGUGGAGAUUUUAAUACCCACCUCUAGCAUGAGAAUCCUGGAAUCUUAAUUCUGGUUCUCAAGGACACGGGAAUGAUAGAAUUGGAAUAUUCCAUAAUUACUCAUUUGCUUUACCCCACAUUGCAAAUGCCACUGUCACAGAAGAACAAUACUAAUACUACCACCACCAAUUAUAGUCACAGAAACAGAACCAACGUGUCACAUGGAAGAAAAUGAGCAGAACAAGACCACAGGAUACUAGAGAGGUAUAUUCUUUGUACUGUGCAGCUCCAGAGAUCUUUCUGUGUUGAUCUGAAUUUAAUGGUGGAAAUGUGGAGUGAAAGACAGAA